UACAGAGGGUGCAAGCGUUACUCGGAAUUACUGGGCGUAAAGCGUGCGUAGGUGGUUCGUUAAGUCUGUCGUGAAAGCCCUGGGCUCAACCUGGGAAUUGCAUUGGAUACUGGCAGGCUAGAGUGCGGUAGAGGAUGGCGGAAUUCCCGGUGUAGCAGUGAAAUGCGUAGAGAUCGGGAGGAACAUCUGUGGCGAAGGCGGCCAUCUGGACCAGCACUGACACUGAGGCACGAAAGCGUGGGGAGCAAACAGG
rnacentral:rRNA from 1 species